rnacentral:rRNA from 1 species
UACGAAGGGGGCUAGCGUUGCUCGGAAUCACUGGGCGUAAAGCGCACGUAGGCGGAUUGCUAAGUCAGGGGUGAAAUCCUGGAGCUCAACUCCAGAACUGCCCUUGAUACUGGCGGUCUCGAGUCCGGGAGAGGUGAGUGGAACUGCGAGUGUAGAGGUGAAAUUCGUAGAUAUUCGCAAGAACACCAGUGGCGAAGGCGGCUUACUGGUCCGGUUCUGGACGCUGGAGGCGCGAAAAGCGUGGGGGAGCAAACAGGG